GUCGCGGUUCUGCAGGACCACCCUGAGCGUUAGCAUCUGGGGCUCCUGGGCGCCAAGUGUUGCUGAACCCCACUCCCUGCCCCCCAACACCCAGCAUUGUGACAACCAAAACACCUGCCCACUCCCACCCCCUUUUUUGAAAUGCCUGCGUUGCCCCUCACAUGAAAAUCAUUGAAUUAGAUUGACUAGUAAUUUUUUUGUUGAGAAAUACCUCCUCCAGUGACAGUGGAGCUGGCAAACCAUGAACCGGGGACACAAUCUGGCCCAUGGCCUGUUUUUGUGUGAUGCUCAAGCUAGGGAUGGUUUUUGUACUUUCAAAGGGUUGGGAGGAGGAAUGGAAGUGACAGUCUGCAUGUGGUCCACAAAGUCUAUAUUUACUCUCUGGCCCUCUAGAGGUAAAGUUCACAGCUCAACAAGCAAUGACCAAGAGCUGACCAGACUGCCAGGUUCUGGGGGUACUGUGAGGGAUAAGACAUCAUUGUUGUCCAGAGAGAACAAGUCACGUUAGGAGAAAUAAAGGCACCAUAAUAGCAAGGGCAAUGUAUGCAAAGAUGGGGUCACACUGUCGCUAUGCAAGCACAAAAGAGGGGCACCCAGCUCAGCCUUGGGGACUUAGAGAAUGCAGAGAAGGGGAGCCUUCCAAGACGAGGGGGCAGGUAAGAUGAAGCUGGAAAGAGAAGUAGGUGUUAGGCAGAAGGGUGCGGUGAAACUGCGGGGAGGGUGGUGAGGUAGGAAAAACAGCCUAGGCAGAGAGAGAGAGAGAGAGAGAGAGAGAGAAAGAGGUGCAAAGGUUUUAGUGGAAUGCAAGGUGGAGAAUGUCAAGGGCUGCAGCUGGAGAGGGGGCUGAGGCCUGUGCCAAAGACUUCGUGUCUCCCAGCUGGAUGCUUGGACUUUACCCAGGCUCAAGCGCUGACCCCAACACUAAGUAGCUGUGUGGCCUUAAGCAAAGUACUUAACCUUUCUGUGCCUCAACUUCCUCAUCUGUAACAUGUGGUUAAGAAGAGUACCUAUCUCAUAGGGUUGCUGAAAACAUGAAAUGAGGUAAUACAUACAAAGCAUGCAGAAUUGUGCCGGCCCAUAAUUAGCACUCAGCAAGUGCUGCCGACUGUGGUUGCUGUCGGGGUCAUUGCUCUUGUUACACUAUCAGUUAUGGGAAGGCUUUGAAAAGCUGUGAACACUUGCUAUGGGCCUGUCUCUACACUGAGCACUAGGAAUAGAGUGGUCUUGUCUUAUGACAUCCGUUUGAGACCUGGACCUUGUAGAAAUCCAGGCAAAAAUUGUUUUGACUCUGGGGUUCCCUGGUGCCUGUUGCCAGAGUGUUCAGGAAAUAAUAGUGGUCUGGCCAUCCUUCACUGAAGGUGAUUAGGAGUCAGCUUCCAGCACAAAUGAUUGCGUCUGAGAGCCAGGAAGGUAGGAGGUCCAGAAUGAGGGCAUUAAGAACUCCUCAGGUCAGGAGCCACAUGCUCCCCUCUUUCUCCUAAAAGAAAAGUAUCAAAUACGGCUCUACUAGCAGAGAGAAUGAUCUAGGCUUCACCCUACCAGACUCAUACUUGAUCCUGCACAGCUUUCCUUUGCCUCAGUGGCCCAAUCUAGUCAUCAACUCUCUGGAAUUUCUUUGGACUCGUACAGUCCUUCAGUGGGUCUCUGCUUCUUCACACAGAAGAGAAAGCAUCUCUCCCGACACGUGCAGUCCAGUCCGGCAGAGGCAGCCUGGAAAUGGAGUCCACACCACAGCGAGGGCUUGCAAGGGACCCAAGAGUCACUCCCUGCCCUCCCUUGUGGCGUCUCCCUCUAGCCCAUCUGCCACAGCUCAUGGGACCUUCCCAGACACAGACACAGCCUGCAGAGGAGGCCGGGGAGUGAGAGCCAAUAGGCAGCAGGCAGGCCUGCAGCACACUCCCCAUUUCUGCUGUCCACUGUGCAGGUAGCAGAGAGGGGUCCCCUCCAUCUACAGAGCCCCCCCAAGGCUUCAGAGCUGGGGGGACCUCCGAGGUUGGUAGCCUGUCUGUGCAGCCGACCACGAGACAACGGCCCUGCUGCGGGAGCACUCAGGAUGCAGAGCUUCCGCUGAGUGCGGUGGAGCUCUCGGUGGGUGAGGCCCUGGGCCCAGGCAUUGUGUCCGCACUGCAGGAGUAGCCCCACGCUGGCAGCUGGCACCCCGGGCACUCGGCGCAGGGCCUGGGCAAGCUGCGCUCUGAUCUGCAGUCUCUCGGUGCUCUGGGCUCCUUUGGGGAGGACAUUAUCUUCGAUGUUAUUGUGUAAUAAUAGGACCAUGUUCCUGUGUCCUGCGGCUUUCUGGCUGAGCACACCAUGCUCCAUGAGGAAAUACGGUUACAGGAAUUAUGCUCUUAUUUAUUUUCCCUCCAGAAUAUCAGAGUUGACAGCACAGAGACACAGGUCUGUGGUCAUUUCAAGCUCAUUUAUCUCUCCCUGCCCCACCCUCCUCUCCUCAGCAGCCACCCUGUCACCUGCCACAGGGCCUCAGGCCCUAUCCCCUGUCUACCCAUCUCCUUAGAGUGCUCAGGCCAUACAGGCUGCUUAAGCGCUUUGUUCAAAUGUACCCAUUUAAUUCUGACGAUAGCCCUAUGGGGUAAGUAUUAUUAUUGUUCUCAUUUCACACUUGAGGAAACUCAGGCCUAGAGAGGUUAUGUGACUUGCCCAGGGUCACACAGCUAGUGAGUGGCAGAGCAUAGAUUCAAACCCAGGCUGUCGGGCUCCAUAAUUUGUGCUUUUAAUUCUGUGCUAUUCAGCCUCCAGUUCUGAUGCUUUUUUCUGUGCGGAUCUACAUAGAGAACAAACUGUGGGCACCAGCACUCGGCAUCCAGGUCAGUGGACACCGUGGAGCUGAGGAGCACUGUUGAUCAGCACUGCCCACGUAAGAAUAGGAACCCCGUGGAAGCUUUAGGCCAUUCAAAGUGGACAAAACUGUCCUUUCUCUCUGGGAUGUUCCCAGAGCUUCUCGGGUAGCCCCACAGUUUGAGUGUCUGAAAUCCCUGCGGGAAGCCCAGCACCUCCAGAGCAAUUCCUGGGAUUCUCAGAGCUUCCUAGAACCAGCCUUGCUUUGAGCGGCUGAGCUAUGGCCAACUGGGCGCCAGACACCCAGGCUCUGGGGACAGCUGUCUGGGCAUGGCCAGCAGUGGGCAUGGGGACCCUCCCCAGGAAUGCCCUGUUGAUACAUCUUGGAGUCUGUUAUGGUGCUUCUCUGGGUGUAGGCCUGUCUGUGGGUGGAAACGGACAAGCGUGUAUCUCAUGACAGUGUGCUUCACUGGGUUGUCACAUUUUUGUGUUUAUUUUGCCCACUAGAGUGUGUAUGUAUGUGUGUGUGUGUGUGUGUCAGGGCUUAGGUCUAAAGAAGGGUAUGUCCCAAUAGGAACAUAAAAUGUGUCAAAGUUUGUGUGGGUGAAAGAGGGAUUGGCUGGAGCGACAUAGCUGUGUGUCCAUGUGUGUGUGCGAGGGCACACUCCCCCAGUGGUUCUUGACAGCUGUGGCUUAUCGCCACCUUGGCAUUCCUCCUUUGCUGCUCCAAGGCCCCCAGCAAUAUGCCAAGGUGCCCGGGCCCUGCCUUGCAGAGCGGGGCCAUUUUAGUUCUUUGUUGUUGGCUUGAUUUCGUUCCUGAUGGGAACAGCCCCUCCCAUCCCCUUCUGACCUGAGCCUCGCCCCCAACCCCAGGUGGGCACAUCUUAUAGUGACGGACCUCCUGUUUCUAGUCAUUCUGCCUCUGAUUGGUUCCAAGUGGGGAACAGCAUGACUCUCUGAGACGCCUCCAGCCUCCUCUCUAGGUCUUUGGGAAUUUUACUCAUAGCCUCCACAGUGCCCCGCAAAGCUGGGAAAACAGGGGGCUGUGGGGGCCAUUAGAACCUGUGACUGUCUGGAGUCUGAUGGAGAGGCAGAUACUAAGGGGCUGGUGGGCAGGAGAAACGGUUCAAGAGGCAGAUGUGGGAGAUGGUUCUGCAGUCUGGCAGGGAGAGGCAGCACUUGGCACCAGUUCCACGAGGCCGGAUGCAGAGUCACUCCUGCCGCAGUUCUCCUCCACUGCUCCCUCCUCCUCAACACCUCGUUCCUUCCCCCCUCAGGGCCUGUGGCCCUCUGGCCAGGGUGUGAUGCCCUCAAUACUGCCCCUCGGUCAGGAGGGCUGAGGCAAGGUGCCUCCCGGGGGGGACUCUCCUAUGAUGAGGAAAACAAUCAGAAGGCUCUAUAACCUUGGACAAAUUGCUUAAACUCUCUGUGCCUCAGUUUUUUAGUCUGACAAAUGGGGAUAGUAAUAGGGUCAUGGUGAGAAUUGUGAGUUCCUACAUGUAAAGCACUUAGAAUACUAUUGGCAUGUUCACUCAAUGUACACUCAGUAAUUGUUGUUAUGAGACUAUCUAUCCCAGAAGCCAAGCUGGCCUUUUCCCAGGGUCCGGUGGAGAGUGGGUGCAGUGGGAGUGGGUAAGGAGACUUGUCUUUCGUGAUGUCUAGGCUUGGCAGAAGGGAGGGGUGACGUCCUUCACCCCUGGAAAGGAUUCCCACCGUCCUGCAUUGGGUGCAUCCAGGAUGCGUGUUGGACCCAGGCUGGGGCUGCCUCCCUGUCCAGGCAGGGGAGGGCUGCAAGCAUAGCAAACCCUGCCCUUCCAGGACAGAAGCUGCCUCUGCCUGCUCUGCUCUCAGCUCUGAAGUCUUUUCUUAAAGAGCAACAUGACCUAUAGAGAAGCCCAUUCCUGCAGAGGAGGAAAGGUCAGAGGCUUCCACAGUGCGGGACUGAAUUUGGAGAAGGCUCCCUCUGCUCUGGGGCCGGCUUUGACAGGACCUGCAGUCUUAGCGUGAGAGGUCCCAUCCCAGGGGCGUGCCUGGCACUCCUGCCCCAGUCAGCUGGGCCCAGUGAACAACCUGAGCCGGGUUGCAGUGUUUCUGUACCCAGAGGAGUGGGCAGAGGUGAAGGUGUCUUUGCUUCCAUUUUGCUUUCUCCCCAGCAUGUGGUUCUCAGAGGUAGUGUCUGACUAGCUCACUGGGGCUGGGGGCCCACCUGGACUGGGCCCACAAGGCAGUGCGGCCUGUGGAAUGCCCAGGAGGAGGGCCCAGCUCUGCCUCCCAGCAGCACGCAGCCUGGGACACGCCAGCCAGGCCACCUGCUGAGAUGUCCUUCCUGCCCCUUCUCACUGCAAAGUGAGAAAAGCUCAGCGGGGUGCUGGGCUUGCUGUUGGUGGCACCAGCCUUCUCCUGGGGCGGUCCAGACCGGUGGGGGCGGGGGAGGCUUC
rnacentral:lncRNA from 1 species